rnacentral:snRNA from 1 species
AGUUCCCUGGAAAGGGGCGC